rnacentral:rRNA from 1 species
ACGAACGCUGGCGGCGUGCUUAACACAUGCCCGUCGAACGGAAAGGCCCUGCUUUUGUGGGGUGCUCGAGUGGCGAACGGGUGAGUAACACGUGAGUAACCUGCCCUUGACUUUGGGAUAACUUCAGGAAACUGGGGCUAAUACCGGAUAGGAGCUCCUGCUGCAUGGUGGGGGUUGGAAAGUUUCGGCGGUUGGGGAUGGACUCGCGGCUUAUCAGCUUGUUGGUGGGGUAGUGGCUUACCAAGGCUUUGACGGGUAGCCGGCCUGAGAGGGUGACCGGCCACAUUGGGACUGAGAUACGGCCCAGACUCCUACGGGAGGCAGCAGUGGGGAAUAUUGCACAAUGGGCGGAAGCCUGAUGCAGCAACGCCGCGUGCGGGAUGACGGCCUUCGGGUUGUAAACCGCUUUCGCCUGUGACGAAGCGUGAGUGACGGUAAUGGGUAAAGAAGCACCGGCUAACUACGUG